CAGCCAGACUCCUACGGGAGGCAGCAGUGGGGAAUAUUGCACAAUGGGGGAAACCCUGAUGCAGCAACGCCGCGUGAGUGAAGAAGUAUUUCGGUCUGUAAAGCUCUAUCAGCAGGGAAGAAGAUGACGGUACCUGAUUAAGAAGCCCCGGCCAACUACGUGCCAGCAGCCGCGGUAAUACGUAGGGAGCGAGCGUUAUCCGGAUUUACUGGGUGUAAAGGGCGUGUAGGCGGGAUGGCAAGUCAGGCGUGAAAACUAUGGGCUCAACCCAUAGCCUGCGUUUGAAACUGUCGUUCUUGAGUGAUGGAGAGGCAAGCGGAAUUCCGUGUGUAGCGGUGAAAUGCGUAGAUAUACGGAGGAACACCAGUGGCGAAGGCGGCUUGCUGGACAUUAACUGACGCUGAGGCGCGAAAGCGUGGGGAGCAAACAGGAUUAGAUACCCGCGUAC
rnacentral:rRNA from 1 species